CUAGCCCCCCAGCCCCGCACCGAGCGCCUUCUCCCCAGUCGUGCCCUCUCCGCAGCUCCACGCCGCGUCUUCCCCAAACCGUGCCCUUCGGAGCGGACUCCCAUCCUUCAUCCCGAGCGAGCGAACAACUGUAGGGGACGACGCUCCACUCCUAGCAAGCAGCGGCAGGGGCGGCGGCGGCUGGCACUUCAUCGACUCCUCGAGCAGCAGAUCCACCACUCCUAGCCAUGGAGGAGGUGGGUAUAGGUGGCACGAAGGCUAUUGGGGAUCCGACCAUGGGGGAGGUGUCUGCCUCGGGAGAUCCAGUGGCGGCGCGCAGCCCUCGUGUCCUCAUUGGUGUCAAGCAAGGACGGCCAGAUGCGAGGGGAACGAGGACGACAAGCAUAAUGAGGUAUAGCCUCUGUGUCCGCUCAUGCUCUGUAGGUCCUUGGCUCCGCACAUCAUCUCUGCACAUCAUCUCGUCUGUCCUGCACGGUGCAUCGAGAUCCUUAGAAUCCUGUGGAUGCUGGUGGAGUGGGCCUCGCAGCAGGCCUCGCCGGUGACCGUGUUCCGGAUCUCAAGCAGUCGCCCAUGAGCCUCGGCACAAGAUGCAAGUGCCUGAGAUCUGCAGAAACUUCAGACUACUUGUAGAUUGUUAUUAUUGGCUAACCUGGAGGUACGAGGAUGCUGUGUGGAACGAAGAUUGGAGCUACAUGAAAUGAGGAUGUUGCUCUACUGUAGCACAUCUUAUAUAUAUGGACAACAAGCCAAUUGAAGUGCUCGUGGAUACAAAUGUAUAGUUAUUUUACACUCCUUAGGUUAGAGAUGAAAUCUUUAAUUUCAGACUUAGUUGAUGUGAGCCAGGCUAGUUCAUUGUUGAUAACAUGUAUGAUAAAGUGCUCAUGGAUUUGAAAUUGUAUAUGUAUGUUAUGCUAACUGCUUUAUUUGAUUAUUGUAAUUUUUUUCGCUGUA